rnacentral:rRNA from 1 species
GUGGGGAAUAUUGGACAAUGGGUGAAAGCCUGAUCCAGCCAUGCCGCGUGUGUGAAGAAGGUCUUCGGAUUGUAAAGCACUUUAAGUUGGGAGGAAGGGCAGUAAGUUAAUACCUUGCUGUUUUGACGUUACCGACAGAAUAAGCACCGGCUAACUUCGUGCCAGCAGCCGCGGUAAUACGAAGGGUGCAAGCGUUAAUCGGAAUUACUGGGCGUAAAGCGCGCGUAGGUGGUUUUGUAAGUUGGAGGUGAAAUCCCCGGGCUCAACCUGGGAACUGCCUCCAAAACUGCAUGACUAGAGUACGGUAGAGGGUAGUGGAAUUUCCUGUGUAGCGGUGAAAUGCGUAGAUAUAGGAAGGAACACCAGUGGCGAAGGCGACUACCUGGACUGAUACUGACACUGAGGUGCGAAAGCGUGGGGAGCAAACAGGAUUAGAUACCCGAGUAGUCC